rnacentral:rRNA from 1 species
UACGAGGGGUGCAAGCGUUAUUCGGAAUGACUGGGCGUAAAGGGUGCGUAGACGGCACGUUAAGUCUUUUGUUAAAUACCUCAGCCUAACUGAGGAUCAGCAGGGGAAACUGGCGAGCUUGAGGUUGGAAGAGAGAAGUGGAAUUCUCGGAGUAGCGGUAAAAUGCGUAGAUCUCGAGAGGAACACCAAUGGCGAAGGCAGCUUCUUGGUCCAAACCUGACGUUGAGGCACGAAAGCGUGGGGAGCAAAC